AUUAAACGCUGGCGGCAUGCCUUACACAUGCAAGUCGAACGGCAGCACGGGGGCAACCCUGGUGGCGAGUGGCGGACGGGUGAGUAAAGCAUCGGAACGUAUCCUGGAGUGGGGGAUAACGUAGCGAAAGUUACGCUAAUACCGCAUAUUCUGUGAGCAGGAAAGCAGGGGAUCGCAAGACCUUGCGCUCUGGGAGCGGCCGAUGUCGGAUUAGCUAGUUGGUGGGUAAAGGCCUACCAAGGCGACGAUCCGUAGCGGGUCUGAGAGGAUGAUCCGCCACACUGGGACUGAGACACGGCCCAGACUCCUACGGGAGGCAGCAGUGGGGAAUUUUGGACAAUGGGCGGAAGCCUGAUCCAGCCAUGCCGCGUGAGUGAAGAAGGCCU
rnacentral:rRNA from 1 species